rnacentral:lncRNA from 1 species
CACAAUUUCAUCCCACAUCUAAGCACAGCCUCCAGGCAAUGUUCAAACCUGAGAUAAGAUUCAAUUCCCCACACGGGCUUUACGGUGUGACAUAUGCAGAAAACGUCAUUUUAGUGCUAAAAGUGAGGCAAUAUUCCAGAAAACAGAGGAAAGGGACAAGAAACAGAUUAAAAGCAAAACACGUUUAAAUAUUCAUGAGAACAAUGCUACCGAUGUCCAUGAAAUUUUGUGCAGUACUGCACUGUGAAGCUAAGCCCAUUUCCAAAAACAGCUGAAUGGAAAGAUCUAUUGUUCCCUUUACAGCAAGGCAGCAGACUUUUUACAGAGAUUAAUUGACUGGCCCAAGUCACAAGGUAGGUGACAGAGUGGGCUGAACACGUAACCACCAUCCUAAGCACUGGGUCAAAAAAAACAAAGGCUGACUGUCAACUGAAAUUUAAAAGACGCAAAGACCAUCAGUCGGGUGCCCAAGCUGGUGAAUGAUGCAACCAACUGACAGAAGAUGGAGAGGGAAAAGGGCAGCUUUUGUAAAUUUGGGGACAUCUGACAAAAAGCUGAUAACACAGGUGGGAGUUUUUUGUUUGGGAUUUUUUUUUUUUUCUUAAGACAGGGUCUUGCUUUGUCACCCAGACUGGAGUGCAAUGGCUCAAUCAUAGCUCACUGUAGCUUCAAACUCCGGGGCUCAAGUGAACCUCCCGGGAUCAAGUGACCCUCCCGCCUCACCCUCCGGAGUAGCUGGGACUACAGGCGCGUGCCACCACGCCGACCUAAGUUUUUUUUUUUUGUAGAGAGGGGUCUAGCUAUGUUGCCCAGGCUGGUCUCCAUCUCCUGGGCUCAAAGCUAUCCUCCCUCCUAGGCCUCCCAGAGUGCAGGGGUUACAGGCAUAAGCCACCGCUCCGGGCCGGCCACAGCUGUCUUUCCUGGUUCACGGUCACCCAAACGCCGGCUCGAAGUGUGGGAGAGGAGGUUGGGGGCGACCCCAGGUGGGCAUUGCUGGCGUCCGGCUGUCAAUCCACAGCUCACGUCCUCACAGGUGCGCGCCUAGAGUCACGCGUCCAGCACCGCCCGGCUGGCCGGGAAGAGGCGACCGGGUCCGUGGUCCGAGUCCCGCACCUCCGGCCUCUCUCUGGGCCCCGGGGCAACCGCCCCUCCCGGGCCGCACAGGCCGCACUGAGGGCGCCACUCCGGGGCUCCUGAACUCCCGGGCUCCCGGCGGGGACGAGGCGCAGGGACGGGGGCACUUCCGGCUCGCGGGGCCCGGGUCGCCCGCCCGCCCGACCCGCCCACCUGGCUGUCGCUGACGCAGAAGACGCGGCCGCCACGGCUCAGGCACACGCGGGCGCCGGGGGGCUGCGCGGCCGCGCCGCAGAAGGUGAAGGAACAGCGCGAGGCACGCAGCCGCCGCACCGUGGCGCGCACGAGCUCAGCCGGCCGGCGACCCCAGCGCGCCCACAGGACAGUGGCAGCCGGAAAGUGGGUUCCUGCAUGGUAACAAGACCUUAAAAUUGUGUCACUGGAGAAGGACGUGCAGUUCCCGCUGAGGAGAGACUUGGCCACUCCAGGACAACACAGGACUACAAGUCAGGAAUUUGAAGAUGAAAAGUGCUCAACAGUGAUAAAUCCUAAAUGUUUCACUGAACAACCUUUCAGAUAGCCUUCUUGAAGUUUGCUGAAUUAUGGCUAUAAGGACCACUCCCCACCCCUGCUUGGUAUGGAGAGGUCAUCUCCUCUAUCUGAAGGUGACCAACAUCUCCAGUUUUUCCAAAUUCCCUAAGGGUUUUGAGACCACACCUUCCCACAGGUACUGUAACUCCACCUGGCCAAUAGGAAUUUUCCAGGUUUACCCUUAGGUGUUUCGAGAUAUGGUCUCAGAAUACAUCAUGGGAAAAUUACAUUUUGGGGUCAAUCCUGUAUACCAAUUCUAGGUUAAAAGCAUGGGGACCACCAUGGUUCAACAUGAGCUGACCCUUGCAUUGAAGAGUACUGAUACCAUUCAUGCCUGGGGAAGGAAUAGAGGGAGGAAGAUAUGAAGGGCACAGUGAGAAGUGAAACAGUCACAUAACAAGCUCUGUUUAUGAUCCCGCCCUAAAAUGAUUUCAUUUUGCAAAGGUCAAGGAUAGAGUUGAGUUUCAUCACCCCUAUAUAACAAAGGAAUAGGGGAAGGAUGCAAAAAUAAUACACCAAGGGAUAUUAAUGUGUAUGCACCUGAUCCUCAUCCUGUAGUCCCUCACUGCUCAAAGUGUGGUCCUCAGAGCAGCAGCAGCAGCAUCACUUGGAAGCUCGCAAGAAAAGUGGAAUCCUAGGCCCCACCCAACCCCAAAUCAGCGUCUGCAUUUUGACAAAAUCCCGGGAGACUCACAAACACAUUAAAGUUAGAGAAGCACUGCUAACAUCUUCCUCUGUCAUUCCCUGGGUCUGGGCUACUCUAGACUCUAAUAAGACAUUUCCAAAAUGAUGUGGAAAAU